AUGAACGCUGGCGGCGUGCCUAAUACAUGCAAGUCGAGCGAACAGACGAGGAGCUUGCUCCUCUGACGUUAGCGGCGGACGGGUGAGUAACACGUGGAUAACCUACCUAUAAGACUGGGAUAACUUCGGGAAACCGGAGCUAAUACCGGAUAAUAUAUUGUACCGCAUGGUUCAAUAGUGAAAGACGGUUUUGCUGUCACUUAUAGAUGGAUCCGCGCCGCAUUAGCUAGUUGGUAAGGUAACGGCUUACCAAGGCAACGAUGCGUAGCCGACCUGAGAGGGUGAUCGGCCAAACUGGAACUGAGACACGGUCCAGACUCCUACGGGAGGCAGCAGUAGGGAAUCUUCCGCAAUGGGCGAAAGCCUGACGGAGCAACGCCGCGUGAGUGAUGAAGGUCUUCGGAUCGUAAAACUCUGUUAUUAGGGAAGAACAAAUGUGUAAGUAACUAUGCACGUCUUGACGGUACCUAAUCAGAAAGCCACGGCUAACUACGUG
rnacentral:rRNA from 1 species